rnacentral:tRNA from 1 species
GGGGACAGAGCUCAGUGGGUACAGUGCUUGCCUCACGUGCACAGACCCUGGGUUCAAUCCCCAGCUCCA